GGUAAAAUGGCUGAGAUUAGGCAAUAAACUGUAAAUUUAUUUACGAAAGAUAUUUCUUUUACC
rnacentral:tRNA from 1 species